CGACUAAGCGUACACGGUGGAUGCCCUGGCAGUCAGAGGCGAUGAAGGACGUGCUAAUCUGCGAAAAGCGUCGGUAAGGUGAUAUGAACCGUUAUAACCGGCGAUGUCCGAAUGGGGAAACCCAGUGCAAUUCGUUGCACUAUCGUUAACUGAAUACAUAGGUUAACGAGGCGAACCGGGGGAACUGAAACAUCUAAGUACCCCGAGGAAGAGAAAUCAACGGA
rnacentral:rRNA from 1 species